ensembl:lncRNA novel transcript, antisense to TM6SF1
UUUUUUCUUUAAUUGAAAUGGACAUAAAUGCUGAGACUCUAAGAGACUAGAGCGCCAUUCAUUGCUAUUCCAGGAAGCAUUCCUGGAGGCCAGGUGCCCACCAGCCAGCCUGCAUUGGGCCCUGCAGGGUACAAAGACUGGAAGAUAAGCCUCUUCCUCUGAAUGAUAGAUGCCUACGGGCCCCACCUACUUACAAAGAACCCUCAGAUGAUUCUGUCAGCCAAGGAAGGGGCCUAACAGUGACUUACACAUCUCUGCAAAGACACUCAUGGAAACUACCAUACUAAUGAACAUAGUCCUUUAUUCAUCAACGUAAACAGAAAACCAAAGAUUGCAAAUAUAUUAGGAAAACCAACAGCAUGGAAGAGAAGAUCCAAGUUGGACCAAUAGAAAAAUUGACCUUGGAGGAAACAGAGAUAAUUUAGGAAAGAAAGAUUUUAUAAAAAUUGUGGUCACUAUCUUCAGAAUAAUUUGAGAAGAUGCUGCAUUCAAGAACUGAGAAGAGGUGGCUAUGGGAAAGGAACAAGCAAAGAACAAGAAAAGAUUCUUGGGAAUUAAAAGUGGGAUUGCAAUAGGGAACACUCAAUAAGUGCGCCAAAUAAUAAAUUGGAUGCAGCGAAAGACCAAGCAGUUGAUCUGGAAUCAAGGAAUCUCAGAAUGUAGAGCAAGAAAAACAAAGAGACAGCAAACAUAAGAGAGUGCCAAGGACAGACACAGAGAUCCAGCAUCUGUCUGAUUAGGAAAGAACAGAGAAAAUGAAAGAGAGAGAAUACCCAAAGAAGUCACAGAACAACAUUUUCUUAAGCUCAAGAAAUAUGUGAGUCUUUAAGACUGAAAGUGUUCACUGAACAAAAUUAAGGUAAAAGGGUUAAACUCUUAGGCAUGGUGGCUCAUGCCUAUAAUCCCAGCACUUUGGGAGGCUAAGGCAGGAGGAUCACUUGAGCCCAGAAUUUCAAGACUAGCCUGGGCAAUAUGGUGAGACCCCAUCUGUACAAAAAAUUUAAAAAUUAGCCAGGCGUGAUGUCGCACACCUGUAGUCCCAGUUACUCAGAAGGCUGAGGUGGGAGGAUCACUCAAAUCUGGGAGGUGGAGGCUGCAGUGAACUAUGAUUGCACCACUGCACUCCAGCCUGGGGCAACACAGUGAGACCCUGCCUCAAUAAAAAGAAAAAAAUAAGAUUAAACCUCCCUCACUAGCAUUCUCAGUUCUCCUUACUCUAUUUAUUCCUUUUUUUGAUAGCACUAUAUAAUACUAGCACACUACAUAAUUGUCUUAUGCAUUAUGCAUAUUAUUUAUGACCUGUCUCCCCUGCUAGAAUGUAAGUUCCAGGAGGGCAGGAAUCUUUGAUUUGUUCCCUAAUGAAGCCCAGCACCUUGAACAGUGCCUUGCACCCUGGAGCCAUCAGUAAAGAUACGUCAAAUUGAAUUAAAAUCCAGACACAUCUUGGUACAAUUUCACAACUCCAAAUAUAAAUGGGAAAUCUUAAAAUCUUGGGGAUUUCCUAGAAAGAAAAAGAAACAGAACUUUCACCUGACAUGAACAACAUUGGAUCCUGGACAACAAUGAAUAACAUAACAUCUUCAUAGUUAGCAAGGAAGAAAAGCUUGGUACAAUCUAAACCCUGCCGAAGUACCAGUUAUUUGUAAAGGCAAUCGUAGGGCAUUUUCAGACAUACAAGAACUUGGAACAUUUACUGUUCAUAUUCCUUGGAUGACAAAAUUAUUCAAACAUAUUUUCCAGCAAAAAUUAAAGGAGGGUCCAAGAAAAAGGACAACAUGGGAUACAAGAAAUUGAAACCCCAAAGAAGUGAAAGAAGCCAGCAAGAGAUUAAGAGGAUUCAUCAUUUUCAGAUGCCCAAAAGGAUUUCCUUGGACCAACAUUUCAAAUGGCAUGAGGAUUUACAUUUAUUAAUAUUCCCUGGCUCCAGUCAUAUUAAUUGGUUCUUUUUUUAAUGGGGGUUUUCCAGUAAAAAAAAACAAAAAACAAACAAACAAAAAAAAGAAAACCUGCUAGACAAAUUCUAAAAGAGCUGUAACAAUUGGUUAUUUAGUUAAUAAUAUUUACAUAGUCACAAAGCUGAAAUGCUAUUUAAAAGUUUUUAAUUUUUGAAACAAUUAUAGGCAAAACAUAGAAAACUUACUUGGAGUUACAAAAUAAAAUGUAAAUUUUAUAAACGUUUACCCUGUAAGAACAGUAACUGACAAAAAUUGAGGUGAGGGCA